rnacentral:misc_RNA from 1 species
GUCAAGUAGUUUCAGAUUAUACAUCCAUCAUGAUGUCUGAAAUUAAGCAAUCUUAUAGGAUGGUUCCUGUUAGAUCGUGUGGUGGCCUUUUAAUGAAGAGUUAUAUAGGUAAAUCAUGAUUGGGGGUUUUCUCAGAGCAUGUUAACUUGCCUUAAAAAAUCAAUAAUGGUAUUUUAGCGAGACUUUUGUGUUUUUCUCGCAAUUGCCAAGUGUGGAAUAUGUUGGCG